GCAAGAGCACUUCACGAGCUAUCCUAAGAGCCAUUGGCUUCCCUGAAAAGCUUAUUGAAGAUCAUAUGCCAGCAUCUAUCGUGACGCCCAGCUCUUCAUGUAACCUAUCAGAUCUCUCAGUUUGGCCACUCAGUGAAGUUGUUCACAAGACAUUCCUAGUGAAGUUGUUCACAUGACAUUGGUACCUCGGAGCAGCAAUAUUUAAGCCUCAACCUAUUUGUUGAUCAAUCGAACAAAAAUGACAACGAAGAGAAUCAUCCAGGAGCUUGAGGAUUUGCAGAGAGACCCAGGAGCUAUUCUGUUCUCACAAAAUACUCUAUUCAUGGGUGAGUUCAGUCCACGAGAACACUGGCGUUCACAGCACAGCGCCGACCAUGGUAAAGCAGAAGAAGAGUAAGGAUCAGGCAAUACAAAUUGGACCAGUGGUGCUCAUAAAAGAAAUUACAGUUGUGCAGCUACAGCUCAAGCAUAGAUCGUAUUAUGUUGAAGUGUAUGUGAACACUACUACGAUUGUGUGAAACAAAAUAUAGACUAGAAGAAAUAGAUAAGCUUUCAGAAAAGAAACAACUUCCUCCAGUGAUUCAUAUGUACUCUGAAAUAGAACUGUAUUGACUGUGUCCUUCUUUUCCAAGUUUGAACAGCCUUCUAGUGGCAUUUUAGGCCUGUGAGCAUAUUGUCUGACAUGAAAGCAGCUAACAAGGAGGUUUCAAGUUAACAACAGCUGUGGUAUGUACUUAUAUAUGUAACAAUUCUAUCAAAUAGGUGCCCAUAAUAUCACUGACCAAACUCCAUGGAAAAAAAUAAACUCCAGGUUCAGAGAUAUGGCACAUAUAGAUACUUGGAGCCAGUUACAAUCGAUCCCCUGAUUUUAAUUUAAGAACAAUCAAUACAUUACCCUAACAAGCUCUCACAAAAUUGGGAGAGUAUCUUCAGAUGGAACUUGGUCAACC